UGUCAGUCUAUUUAUUAACGUGUUAGCCACGUUUAUGGGAAGAGACAGAGAAGAGUGAUCUCAGACUUAGUGGGCAGCUCUGUUUAGAUGCAGGCGAGAGAUAUCCUCGUUUGGCAAAGUGCCAUGAGAUGGGUGGUUCACAAGAUUGGAAA